CUGCUUAGUUUCUCAAAUUCAUAUUACUGAUAAAGUGUUAAAACUUAGAUGAGAUGUUGGUGUUUUAUGGCUCACGAAUUCGCAAUAACGGAUACGUAUAGCAGUUCGUGUUAAUGACAUUAAUCCAAACUUAUUGAUGACGUGAUAACAUGGGCGUCGAAUCCAAUAUUAAUCAUGCUGAGGUUUUCUCGACGGGGUAAUGUGUAUAAAUGCAGUUAUAAAAUUAAAAGGGACAAGAUAGUCGACGUGACCCUCAUGUUUCCAUGGCAAUCAGUCAAUUACAUGUUACGCUUAUGAUCGCACCUGCGGUCAUUCGCGCAGUAUCCAUUAUUUUAAGCGGCAUGAAACACUUAAGUUAACUCCUUUGUACGAAAAUAUCAUGUCGUAGCCCUUCAAAUUAGAAAAGUGAGGAUGAUCUUGUCAAUGCUGAGAUUUUCAUGCAUCAGCAGCCACUACAUCUGGAUCAGAUUGAACAAGAAACAGACAGCAAGGGUUGUCAGAUCAGAAACAGAAUGACACACAAACACAAGAAACUUCACAGGCAGAUCAACAUGCAAUUUGAAGACGUGUGAUAAAAUACAGAGAGGUGAAGUAGUGUGUCUUUCCAGAUCCCCAAAUCAUUCCCCCUUAAAAGAUGAGCCUGAAGAGGAGAUUUGGGAAGAUGCUGUUUCAUAAGUCGCUUUGCCAGAUCACCUGUGGUCGGGAUGUCUGCUAACAAGAUGCCUUGCUGGUCUGAGCGAGUUUAAAGUCUUACACAGACAGUCCAGAAGUUCUGAAGUCCAUCUUUGAUUUCAUUGAUGCUGUCAUCGUAUUAAGUACAGCAUGAGCCAGAAUAGAUGGGUGGUGGUGGCCAUAAGAAGACUGUCAACUAAACCAACAACAAAAUUCAUAUUUGCAGUUUUUCUUGAAUAAAGUUUUUCUAUUCAGAUUAAUAAAAUGACUUUUAAACAUGA